GUGUGAUUCAGCAGUACAUAUACUAAAAUUGGAACAAUACAGAGAAGAUUAGAUGUCCCUUUUGCAAGGAUAACAUGUAAAAUCAUGAAGUGAUCCAUAUUUUU